CUCAGCUUCGCGCCUGCUCACUCCACCCUGUAUAGGCUACAUGCAUAUGCGUUUAAUCAGAAGUCUCUCCCGACUGAAUCAGACGGUUUAUUUACUUCACUGCUACCGCCUCCCUCUGAUUAUGGAUGUUUGACUGCUGAACUUCAACUUGGAAAUUGGGAUUUUCAGUUCCUGGUGUCUGUGUGCGCAUUUGGACCAUGACGCCUCUCCCCAUGAGACACCACCAGGGACCACUGCUGAACUUCAACAAGCUAAAAUGACACUUUGGAGCUCUGCUACGACAGAUGAACAUAUCACAGUAUCAACCGGGAGCUUGCGAGCUGAAGGGGAGGAAUAUUUUCACAGGCAACCACAGUAGAGGAGGUCGAUCAGACAGGUUAGGCAAUAUUAUAUGCAGCUGGCCGGAGGGACCUGGACUCAGAUGUUGAGUGAUCCUGUGUGUGGCAGUAUUAAGUGGGUUUUGGAUUCACUUUUAAAUUGCCCUGGAGGAUGCCUUCAAGGGAUGUUUCAUAUGAUGCUACCUGGGGCGCAGAACAUGCCAGGACUGCCACUAACCAAAGCACUCUCCCAUCGAAAACCUUACCUGCAGCUGCAGACACAGCUCCGAUCUGUGUAAUGAGCAACUGAUCGAUCUAUUCAGCCUCUCUCGUGUUGGGUUUCUGCAUCAUUGGGCUGCUCUGUGUUAUGUGGAAUAUCAACCAAGUAUGUCAACAGGAAGAACUUUAAUGAGGUCGGAAAAGCCGGACUGAAUCGAGGCAUUACAACAAUUCCAGUGACCUAUUAGAGUUUUGAAUUCUGGUGGUAUUUUGUUUGUCUCUAGAGGUGGCAGAGUGUAGUUGGAGAUGUAAUUUGACACCAGGGAUCUGAAUCUAUUGACCUCACCCUGUCAAGACAUUGAUAUUUUAACUAUGGAAAGAAGGGCUGGCGGUGAAAGUAUGCUGUUUUUUCACUUAAUAAAGUCUUAAGCUGAUGGUAAUUGUUCAAACC